rnacentral:lncRNA from 1 species
GCCAGCUUGAGCCUAGAAGACAAGCUGUGUGUACGGCAGAGUGCAGAACCAGAGAAGUGACCUAAGCCCUUUGGAGGAGCCCAGAAGAUAGUCUCAAGAUGGCUGCUGCUCCUCCAGGCAUGGCAUCAGCAUUCAAAAGGAAGAAAGAAGAACCAAACCAGCAAGAAGGCUUGAGUGCAUCCAUUACUUUUUAUAACUUUUCCUGGAUGAGUCACACAGUGAGUGAUUCAUCUGUUGGCUUCAUCUAUUGGCUACAACAUGUCACAUGACUUCUAGCCACAAACGCAUCUGG